UGAAAUGUAAUUGACAUUUUGAAACUGCCUUUGCAAAAAUUAUAACAGUGAGAAAAUUGUGGCAGUAAAAGAGAUCUGAUCUAAUCAACUCCAUCUUUCCUUU